rnacentral:rRNA from 1 species
ACUCCUACGGGAGGCAGCAGUAGGGAAUCUUCCGCAAUGGACGAAAGUCUGACGGAGCAACGCCGCGUGAGUGAAGAAGGUUUUCGGAUCGUAAAACUCUGUUGUCAGAGAAGAACAAGUUGGAGAGUAACUGCUCCAGCCUUGACGGUUUCUGACCAGAAAGCCACGGCUAACUACGUGCCAGCAGCCGCGGUAAUACGUAGGUGGCAAGCGUUGUCCUGAUUUAUUGGGCGUAAAGCGAGCGCAGGCGGUUCCUUAAGUCUGAUGUGGAAGCCCACGGCUCAACCGUGGAAGGUCAUUGGAAACUGGGGAACUUGAGUGCAGAAGAGGAGAGUGGAAUUCCAUGUGUAGCGGUGAAAUGCGUAGAUAUAUGGAGGAACACCAGUGGCGAAGGCGACUCUCUGGUCUGUAACUGACGCUGAGGCUCGAAAGCGUGGGGAGCAAACAGGAUUAGAUACCCUGGUAGUC